rnacentral:misc_RNA from 1 species
AAGGAUCAUUAGCAAGAUUGACCUUGUAGAAUCCUCCAUGUAAAAGUGGUUGUGUUUUGCAAGGCAAGUAUGCCAUCCUUGUGUUAUGUCAACCACCUGUUAGAGUGCCUUUGGUUUAGAGACCGUAGGCAUUCUCUCUCUUAAAAACACUCUUAUAUCUUCUGAACCUCUUUUUGCUUGGAAACAGGCAUCAAAAACAAUCGAAAACUGCCAGCAAUGGAUCACUCGGUUCUC